rnacentral:rRNA from 1 species
CCUACGGGGGGCAGCAGUGAGGAAUAUUGGUCAAUGGACGAGAGUCUGAACCAGCCAAGUAGCGUGAAGGAUGACUGCCCUAUGGGUUGUAAACUUCUUUUAUAUGGGAAUAAAAUGUUCCACGUGUGGGAUUUUGUAUGUACCAUAUGAAUAAGGAUCGGCUAACUCCGUGCCAGCAGCCGCGGUAAUACGGAGGAUCCGAGCGUUAUCCGGAUUUAUUGGGUUUAAAGGGAGCGUAGGUGGAUUGUUAAGUCAGUUGUGAAAGUUUGCGGCUCAACCGUAAAAUUGCAGUUGAAACUGGCAGUCUUGAGUACAGUAGAGGUGGGCGGAAUUCGUGGUGUAGCGGUGAAAUGCUUAGAUAUCACGAAGAACUCCGAUUGCGAAGGCAGUUCACUGGACUGCAACUGACACUGAGGCUCGAAAGUGUGGGUAUCAAACAGUAUUAGAUACCCGGGUAGUC